GAUGAACGCUAGCUACAGGCUUAACACAUGCAAGUCGAGGGGAAACGGCAUCGAAAGCUUGCUUUUGAUGGGCGUCGACCGGCGCACGGGUGAGUAACGCGUAUCCAACCUGCCCAUCACUUGGGAAUAACCUUGCGAAAGUAAGACUAAUACCCAAUGACAUCCCACGAAGACAUCUGAAUGGGAUUAAAGAUUUAUCGGUGAUGGAUGGGGAUGCGUCUGAUUAGCUUGUUGGCGGGGUAACGGCCCACCAAGGCAACGAUCAGUAGGGGUUCUGAGAGGAAGGUCCCCCACAUUGGAACUGAGACACGGUCCAAACUCCUACGGGGGGCAGCAGUGAGGAAUAUUGGUCAAUGGGCGAGAGCCUGAACCAGCCAAGUAGCGUGCAGGAUGACGGCCCUAUGGGUUGUAAACUGCUUUUAUAAGGGAAUAAAGUGGGUCUCGUGAGACUUUUUGCAUGUACCUUAUGAAUAAGGACCGGCUAAUUCCGUG
rnacentral:rRNA from 1 species